GACGAACGCUGGCGGCGUGCUUAACACAUGCAAGUCGAACGGAAAGGCCCUGCUUUUGUGGGGUGCUCGAGUGGCGAACGGGUGAGUAACACGUGAGUAACCUGCCCUUGACUUUGGGAUAACUUAAGGAAACUGGGGCUAAUACCGGAUAGGAUCUCCUGCUGCAUGGUGGGGGUUGGAAAGUUUCGGCGGUUGGGUAUGGACUCGCGGGUUAUCAGCCUGUUGGUGGGGUAGGGGCUUACCAAGGCUUUGACGGGUAGCCGGCCUGAGAGGGUGACCGGCCACAUUGGGACUGAGAUACGGCCCAGAAGCGUACGGGAGGCAGCAGUGGGGAAUAUUGCACAAUGGCCGGAAGCCUGAUGCAGCAGCGCCGCGUGCGGAAUGACGGCCUUCGGGUUGUAAACCGCUUUCGCCUGUGACGAAGCGUGAGUGACGGUAAUGGGUAAAGAAGCACCGGCUAACUACGUG
rnacentral:rRNA from 1 species